UACGGAGGGGGCGAGCGUUGUUCGGAAUUAUUGGGCGUAAAGAGCGCGCAGGCGGUCGUUCAAGUCGAGUGUGAAAGCCCCCGGCUCAACUGGGGAGGGUCACUCGAUACUGAUCGACUUGAAGGCAGGAGAGGGAAGCGGAAUUCCCGGUGUAGUGGUGAAAUGCGUAGAUAUCGGGAGGAACACCAGUGGCGAAGGCGGCUUCCUGGCCUGUUCUUGACGCUGAGGCGCGAAAGCUAGGGGAGCAAACGGG
rnacentral:rRNA from 1 species